GCGGCUCCCCUCCCCCUCCCUCUCUUGGGACAGACAGCCUUUGUUCCCGGCGGCGGCGGCAGCGGUGGCCAGACACCUGUGAGGCCGCAGAACUGGCCGAGGGUGGGCGUGUGAGGACAUGGAGGCCCCUUGUCCCCAUUCCAGCCCUGCGCCCCUGGGUCCGGGUGCGCCCCCUGAGACAGGUCAGCCUUGAGCACCUUUCUGCGGGGAGACUGCAGAGAUCGUCCAGUGGCCCUACAGUCCCGGACGGGCGUGCCCUGCGCCGCGCACCAACCGGAGCCACAUUCAAGGUGAAUCAUCCCCGGCCCGCCCCCUG
rnacentral:lncRNA from 1 species